rnacentral:rRNA from 1 species
GAUGAACGCUGGCGGCGUGCCUAAUACAUGCAAGUCGAGCGAACAGACGAGGAGCUUGCUCCUCUGACGUUAGCGGCGGACGGGUGAGUAACACGUGGAUAACCUACCUAUAAGACUGGGAUAACUUCGGGAAACCGGAGCUAAUACCGGAUAAUAUAUUGAACCGCAUGGUUCAAUAGUGAAAGACGGUUUUGCUGUCACUUAUAGAUGGAUCCGCGCCGCAUUAGCUAGUUGGUAAGGUAACGGCUUACCAAGGCAACGAUGCGUAGCCGACCUGAGAGGGUGAUCGGCCACACUGGAACUGAAACACGGUCCAGACUCCUACGGGAGGCAGCAGUAGGGAAUCUUCCGCAAUGGGCGAAAGCCUGACGGAGCAACGCCGCGUGAGUGAUGAAGGUCUUCUGAUCGUAAAACUCUGUUAUUAGGGAAGAACAAAUGUGUAAGUAACUAUGCACGUCUUGACGGUACCUAAUCAGAAAGCCACGGCUAACUACGUG